GACGAACGCUGGCGGCGUGCUUAACACAUGCAAGUCGAACGGAAAGGCCCUGCUUUUGUGGGGUGCUCGAGUGGCGAACGGGUGAGUAACACGUGAGUAACCUGCCCUUGACUUUGGGAUAACUUCAGGAAACUUGGGCUAAUACCGGAUAGGAGCUCCUGCUGCAUGGUGGGGGUUGGAAAGUUUCGGCGGUGGGGGAUGGACUCGCGGCUUAUCAGCUUGUUGGUGGGGUAGUGGCUUACCAAGGCGAUGACGGGUAGCCGGCCUGAGAGGGUGACCGGCCACAAGGGGACGGAGAGACGGCCCGGAGUCCGACGGGAGGCAACAGUGGGGAAGAUGGGACAAUGGACCGAGAGUCUGAUCCAGCAAUUCUGUGUGCACGAUGAAGUUUUUCGGAAUGUAAAGGGCUUGCAGGUGGGAAGAAACAAAGGACGGUACCAACAGAAGAAGUGACGGCUAAAUACGUG
rnacentral:rRNA from 1 species